GAUAUCAGAAGAGCCGAAGAGGCAAGAAGAAAAGAGGUGAGUAAGGGAAAGAGUAAAGGAUUAAAAGGGAAGAGUGUGUUUUUAACCCAAACGACCUAUCGAGAGUAGUCGAACGAGAGAACUAGGCGACAUAACUCCAACGAGGAGGAGUGGUGUUCGGUGGUGACCUCGACCACGACGGUGUCCCACUGGUAGCUGCCGCCGACCAAACCGGGGAGCAUGCGGAGGAGGCAGAGGAUCCGACCAUUUACCCCGAUCUAAAUACUACCGCAUACACGUCACUAAAACAGUGCCUAAAGUAGAGGACGUCCGGGCCUUGGAGAACCUAGGUCGAAGUCAUACUCCCUCGAACUCUGUAAAAGAAGGGGUUCGCACGUUUGGUUUGCGUAGUGGCGAUAAAGACGCGCUCCGUCGAGUUGUGUAGUAAGUGUAGGAGAUGACGCCGUUGUAAGAAGUUAAGCUUGACGUCUUACCUCGACACCGUAAUUCUGUCUUUGGGUGAUAGCUUAAACUCAACCAUGAAUGAACUCCACCAGACUAACGAGCUACCUCGGUCGACCACAGGCGACCUCCUUCUGUUACGGUUUCACGGUGAACAACCUCCUUCAACUGAAACUUCACAGCAAGUGCCCUCCUUCUACUACAUGUUCCAUAUAGUAGAUCAGAUCUCCUUUUAAUUGGGAACUCCGCAUUAACGAGACCAAACCCGUUAGUUUAGAGAUAUGUAAUGACACUCUCAAACUUCUCUAACGUAGAGACUUGAAAAAAAAACACGGACAAGAAAAAUAACACCCUACCAGACUGCCGAGUACCUACCAGUUUGGACAACCCUAGUACUCCAAAGAUAACACCCUACCAGAUUAGCGAGUUGGACAACCCCAGUACUCUAACAUUUAACACCCUACCAGAUCAGCGA
rnacentral:rRNA from 1 species